GCUCGGGUGGUGGAAUGGUAUACACGAAAGACUUAAAAUCUUUUGCUUCACAGCUUGCGGGUUCGAGUCCCGCCCCGAGCA
rnacentral:tRNA from 1 species